GCCUACGACCAUAUCAUCCUGAAUGCGCCCGAUCUCGUCUGAUCUCGGAAGCUAAGCAUGGUCGAGCCUGGUUAGUAUCUUGGAUGGGAGACUGCCUGGGAAUACCAGGUGUUGUAGGCU
rnacentral:rRNA from 1 species